AAAAAAAAAAAGCAAAGCUGUCUUGUGGCGCAUGAAUCAUGUGCUGCAAGGUGAGAUGGUCUCGUUCUUAUAUAUUUUCUUUGUUCCACUACCUUAAGGGGUGCUAUAGGAGUCAAUUAUUUGGUAUCUUUGAGGAAAUUUGGCAUUGGAGGUACGUGAUUAGAGGAUUUUAUAAAGAUGAACUUGGGCAUUUUGGUAGAAGGAAAGAUUGUUGGAGGCCAUCACAUUAUGCAAUUUUUGAUGUGAUUCGAAGUAUUUGGUUGGCAAUAAAUGCUUGGAUCCUUGAGAAUCACAGUGUCUUGUGAUAAAAGAAUUUUUGUUCUUUAUAUGGACUUUUGCUUUUGGGUCUCCCAAGCGUCCUAUACUCAUUCUCAAGUUUGGAAGUUGCUAUUUUAUUAGUUUUUCUUUAACUUUGGUAUAUUCUCAAGUUUGGAAGUUGCUAUUUUAUUAGUUUUUCUUUAACUUUGGUAUUCUUUUCUGGUUUCCUUGGGAAGAGGAUGCUUUCUUCAACUUUUUUCUUUUUUAGUUCAUAUCUUUUAAAAGAAAGGUUUAAUGAGAAAUUUUAUUUUUUGCGCACUUUUUCAAUGUACGCUAAUCAUUUUAAUUUCUUGGAUUUAAGCCCAUCUUUAUAAUGAUAUUGGUAAUAAUUUUGGCCAAUUUAGUGAGGGGGAAGUAAAUGUAUAUGCAAAGUCUACUGUCUACAUGACUAUUUCAGUUGGCGAAAAGAAGAGGUUAUCUUUUCUUUCUUUGCAAUGCUGUGAAAUAUGAAAUAUUCAUUUUUACUUUUCCUUGUAAAAUAUAUUUAUGUUAUUUUUUUUUCAAUAAUUGAUGAACAAAAAUAUUAAUUAUUUUAGAAAGAAAAUUUAAGAAAAAAAAUAUUUUGUAUUAUCAACACUAUAAAGGAAAAUAAACCUGAUUUUUUUGUCUAUUAAGUUAGCUACAUAGGCAUCACAUGUGGACACUGAUUCUCACUCGCUAACUUGGCUAAAAUUGUUAACAAUAUCACAAGGUUAGGCUAAAAAAAGU
rnacentral:misc_RNA from 1 species